UACGGGGGGGGCAAGCGUUGUUCGGAAUUACUGGGCGUAAAGGGCUCGUAGGCGGCCAACUAAGUCAGACGUGAAAUCCCCAGGCUCAACCUGGGAACUGCGUCUGAUACUGGAUGGCUUGAAUCCGGGAGAGGGAUGCAGAAUUCCAGGUGUAGCGGUGAAAUGCGCAGAUAUCAGGAGGAACACCGGUGGCGAAGGCGGUUCUCUGGGCAUUACCUGACGCUGAGGAGCGAAAGUGUGGGGAGCGAACAGG
rnacentral:rRNA from 1 species